UAAAAGCACGUGAAACCGUUGAAAGGGAAACGCGCUCGGCUAGCAAUGCGCGCCUGUGGUUCAGCCGGCUAAUCUUGUGAGUUGGCGUGUGGCGGAUCCGAAUGGACCGCCCGCAUCAGCAUCGCAGGGCGAGCUGUGGUGCACUCCAUGGGCGUGCGCGUCAGCGUCGGUUCCAGGCGAGCGAUGAGGUGCGUGGGGGAAGGUAGCUCGGUUCUUCGGAUCCGAGUGUUAAGACCCUGGCGCUGGGCUCGUCGUGGGACCGAGGAGAGAGAUGAUCGCUGCGGCACCUGCCUCUCGGGGCUAGCCAGCUGUCGUUAGAUUUGCGUCAGGCGUUGAGGACUGCACGCAGUGCUCGGUGUUGAGGCGUGGUCUAGUGGUGGUGUGGGUAUAGAGGUGCCUAGGACGCUGGCGUCCAAAUGGCCGUGCGCGA
rnacentral:rRNA from 1 species